GUGUCAGCAGCCGCGGUAAUACGAAGGGGACUAGCGUUGUUCGGAUUUACUGGGCGUAAAGCGCGCGUAGGCGGAUCGCUAAGUCAGGGGUGAAAUCCCAAGGCUCAACCUUGGAACUGCCUUUGAUACUGACGAUCUGGAGAUUGGGAGAGGUGAGUGGAAUUCCGAGUGUAGAGGUGAAAUUCGUAGAUAUUCGGAGGAACACCAGAAGCGAAGGCGGCUCACUGGCCCAAUACUGACGCUGAGGCGCGAAAGCGUGGGGAGCAAACAGGAUUAGAAACCCGCGUAGUCC
rnacentral:rRNA from 1 species